AUCAACCCACUAGUACUCAAGGAAGAGGAAGAGAAGAGAGGGACGUCUUGGGGAUUGUAUUUGACCAGAGAACUGAGGUUUUAUUAAAAAGAAUUUGUGAAAACAAGCCCCUUUUAAGGAUGUUUUUUAAGUCAGAGAGAAAGAAAGUGGUCUCCUUAAAUGCAAGAAAGUAAACACACGAGAAGUCUAUUGAAAGAAUCAGUGACGAAUCAAACAAGCACAGAGAAAA